rnacentral:rRNA from 1 species
UAACACAUGCAGUCGACGGUAGCACAGAGAGCUUGCUCUCGGGUGACGAGUGGCGGACGGGUGAGUAAUGUCUGGGAAACUGCCCGAUGGAGGGGGAUAACUACUGGAAACGGUAGCUAAUACCGCAUAAUGUCGCAAGACCAAAGAGGGGGACCUUCGGGCCUCUUGCCAUCGGAUGUGCCCAGAUGGGAUUAGCUAGUAGGUGGGGUAACGGCUCACCUAGGCGACGAUCCCUAGCUGGUCUGAGAGGAUGACCAGCCACACUGGAACUGAGACACGGUCCAGACUCCUACGGGAGGCAGCAGUGGGGAAUAUUGCACAAUGGGCGCAAGCCUGAUGCAGCCAUGCCGCGUGUAUGAAGAAGGCCUUCGGGUUGUAAAGUACUUUCAGCGAGGAGGAAGGCAUUAAGGUUAAUAACCUUAGUGAUUGACGUUACUCGCAGAAGAAGCACCGGCUAACUCCGUGCCAGCAGCCGCGGUAAUACGGAGGGUGCAAGCGUUAAUCGGAAUUACUGGGCGUAAAGCGCACGCAGGCGGUCUGUCAAGUCGGAUGUGAAAUCCCCGGGCUCAACCUGGGAACUGCAUCCGAAACUGGCAGGCUAGAGUCUUGUAGAGGGGGGUAGAAUUCC